rnacentral:rRNA from 1 species
UACGAAGGGGGCUAGCGUUGCUCGGAAUCACUGGGCGUAAAGCGCACGUAGGCGGAUUGCUAAGUCAGGGGUGAAAUCCUGGAGCUCAACUCCAGAACUGCCUUGAUACUGGCGACCUUGAGUCCGGGAGAGGUGAGUGGAACUGCGAGUGUAGAGGUGAAAUUCGUAGAUAUUCGCAAGAACACCAGUGGCGAAGGCGGCUCACUGGCCCGGUACUGACGCUGAGGUGCGAAAGCGUGGGGAGCAAACAGG